UGGCUCAAAGGUUAAGAGCACUGGGCUGCUCUUCCAGAGGUCCUGAGUUCAAUUCCCAG
rfam:Cricetulus griseus cell line CHO-K1, whole genome shotgun sequence.